rnacentral:tRNA from 2 species
GCCCAGGUGGUGAAAUUGGUAGACACGCCAGCUUGAGGGGCUGGUGUCCAUUACGGACGUGCAGGUUCGACUCCUGUCCUGGGCA